rnacentral:rRNA from 1 species
GAUGAACGCUGGCGGCGUGCCUAAUACAUGCAAGUCGAGCGAACAGACGAGGAGCUUGCGCCUCUGACGUUAGCGGCGGACGGGUGAGUAACACGUGUAUCACCUCCCUAUCAGACUGGGAUAACUUCGGGACACCGGCGCUAAUACCGGAUAAUAUAUUGAACCGCAUGGUUCAAUAGUGAAAGACGGUUUUGCUGUCACUUAUAGAUGGAUCCGGGCCGCAUUAGCUGGUUGGUAAGGUAACAGCUUACCAAGGCGACGAUGCGUAGCCGAACGGAGUGGGGGAUCGGCCACCUGGGAGGGGAGACAGGGUCAUGAGGCCUACGGUAGGGACCAGUAGCGAAUCGGAGGCAACGGGCGAAAGCAUGACGGAGUGACGCGGAGUGAGAUGUGACGGCCUUCGGAGCGUAAAACUGGGUUAUUAGGGAUGAACAAAUGUGUAAUUAACUAUGCAGGGCGUGACGGUACCGAAUCAGAAAGCAACGGCUAACUACGUG